UGGCGGGAGUGCUGGGAGGAGAGAAAGCAGCCAGGGUGGCGCGUUGACUGGAGGAUCGCCAACCGCUCUCAAACAGCAUGCAACAGGCGUGGGCAGUAAUGCCUGUGUGAUUGGGCUGUGCUGGGUGAUGAUUUUAAUAAACACACACCCGCAGAGGUGGCCACAGGUCAACCGUGUUUGGAUUCAUCAGGUGCACAGGACGCAAGCUGGAAUGUAAAGCUCGGUGGUGGACUGGACCCACACCUGGACCAUAUUUCACCAGGGUGCAUACGAGAGAAUGGAUUGGAUCAUAGGUGAUAGCGUGUUUUUACCUGGAUAAUGAGAAGGAGCCAGGUUCCAGCAGAGACGCUUCUUACAACAGAGGGGACUCCCAAACCUAAUAUCCACAACACAGAGGCUCCUGCUAUAAAGACACAUCUUUUGAAAUGGGAAAAAAAGAGGUAAAAAAAGAAGAAAAGGAAGGAUCAGUUGGCAUCUCUCACUUUGACUACAAAAGAGUGAAUGAGGGAAAAACUUCAUUAUAUUGGCGAGUGACAGGAAAUGUGAAACACAGUGACAGAGGAAGAGAAUGAGGACCUUUUUUCCCUCCCCACCUCAGUUUCAUGUCUCUCUCGCUGCAAAACAGAAAAAAAAAGAAACUCUGUGGACCAUACGAACUACAACACACACACAUGCACUGACCCCAUAUCUCUCAUGAACAGUGCCACCGACCAUCAACUGUCAUUUUUAUUCAGUGUCGGACUCACUCCGUAAUCACCCUGACAGACAAUGCACUGCCACCAUGUUGCUACAGUGCCGUAAGUGAAGAAACAGCAAGUUAAUGCCUUUAUCACCGGUGUCACUGUUCUUCCAGCAUUUAAACAUUAAAAACUUAUAUUGCAUGGUUAUUAACUUAUUUUGACAAUGAUUAAUUUGCAUAAUGUCACAUUUACUGUCCCUUUAUUAAAGUCACAGCGGCAUAGAACGACCACAUGAUUCACUUUGGAUGAUUUCUUACAGUUUUCCAGAAGCAUGUCCAGGACUCAGACGUCAGACAGUUCUGAAGCACAAUCAUUUCAAACAUUUUCUGAAUUUUUAUAGUUGUAUAAAUUGGAUAGUGCACCUAUUUCUGUUCCACCAUAUUUUAUUAGGGAAUGUUUUGAUUUUUGCACAUUCGUUUCAGCUAGAAAGGACACUGAUAUUAAACAUUUUAUGAAAAACUAUAUCAUCAUUCAUGAGAUUAUUACUUCUACUACACUAAAAAAUCAAGCUGCUGCUUAGAUAUUAAUAUAUUUCUGAUUUAUCAACAACACAUAGCGUAAAACGUUCUAAUGAUAGCUCAUUGUUUACUAAAAACUUUGAUCUUCACAUACAAUUUGUGUAUAAUAUAACACAUAAAUGGGGAGUAUUUAGAUAAAUACAGUAGACUAAAUUUAAACAGUGCAUUUAAAGAGAAAUUAACACAUUUCAGUGUUUUAGUUUAUAUGUUUAAAUAUGUUCUCUUCCAUUUGAUUGCAUGAGAAUUUCUUUUGAUUAUAUACUACAAUUGUGUGAGUACAAACAGUUCCACACUAGUGUACAAAGACUUGUAGGACUGUUGUUCAUUUUAUGGUUUUGUGUUAUGUUACAGCUACACUGUGUGACUGAACUCCAGCUGUUUUCUAAGUUCAUUGUCAGGAUUGUUGCUGAAAUUUGACUUACAAGCAGGGUUGCUUGUAAGUCAAAUUUCAGCAACAACCCAUGUAGUUGCGCAGUGUAUGGGGCACCGCACUGCAACAAUAAAAAAAAAAAAGAAAGU